rnacentral:tRNA from 1 species
GGCCGCCUGGCGAAAUGGCAUCGCGUCUGACUACGAAUCAAGAGAUUGCAGGUUCGACCCCUGCGGUGGUCA